GAUGAACGCUAGCGGCAGGCCUAAUACAUGCAAGUCGAGGGAGAAUGUUGGAUUCGUCUGACAUGAAGCCGGCGCACGGGUGCGUAACACGUAUGCAACCUACCUUUAACUGGGGUAUAGCUCAGAGAAACCUGAAUUAAUCCCCCAUAAGACUACGACAUGGCAUCAUGAUGUAGUUAAAGCUCCGGCGGUUAAGGAUGGGCAUGCGGUACAUUAGCUAGUUGGUGAGGUAAUGGCUCACCAAGGCUACGAUGUAUAGGGGGUCUGAGAGGAUGAUCCCCCACACUGGUACUGGGACACGGACCAGACUCCUACGGGAGGCAGCAGUAGGGAAUAUUGGUCAAUGGACGGAAGUCUGAACCAGCCAUGCCGCGUGAAGGAUGAAGGCCCUAUGGGUCGUAAACUUCUUUUAUUAGGGAAGAAAAAACGGGAUGCGUCCUGUACUGACGGUACUUAAUGAAUAAGGAUCGGCUAACUUCGUGCCAGCCGCCGCAGUAA
rnacentral:rRNA from 1 species